AGGCCGUGAUGGGGACACUUGCGUAAUAGCUCCUUGAACCUUUCCCAUGUUUCAUAUAAGGAUUCCCCGUCCUCUUGGGAGUAUGUAUUAAUUUCAGCCAUUAAUUU
rnacentral:snoRNA from 2 species